rnacentral:rRNA from 1 species
UACGUAGGGGGCAAACGUUGUCCGGAAUCAUUGGGCGUAAAGAGCGUGCAGGCGGCCCGGUAAGUCCGCUGUGAAAGUCCAGGGCUCAACCCUGGAAUGCCGGUGGAAACUGUCGGGCUAGAGUCCGGAAGAGGCGAGUGGAAUUCCUGGUGUAGCGGUGAAAUGCGCAGAUAUCAGGAGGAACACCAAUGGCGAAGGCAGCUCGCUGGGACGGUACUGACGCUGAGGCGCGAAAGCUAGGGGAGCAAACAGG